CAUCAAUAUUUCAUCUCGCUUAGCCCUGCCAGCUCCUGGCUUCUCUCCACCCCCACUCUGCUUCCCACUGGCUUUAGGACCUGGAGGGCUGGGUAUGCUGGCCAGCCUAGAGUCAUCAGAUGCCAGGCUGCCUUCUUGGGCCCCUGACCUGUUCUCCACACAAUCCCUGGCAGAGCAGGGCCCCGCCUGGAGACCUUCCUUGGCCUGUUCAUGCUCCAUGCAAAGACAACCGCCAUCCUGGAAGGAUCUGUGAGAACCUUCCCCACACCCACUCCACAGGUUCCCACAUUAUUCACCGUGAGUCGGGUAAGUAUAUGUGAGCCAUGCAUGUGCCUGAAUCGUGGUGUCAACCAGAGAGCUUUUAGGGGACAAUUGUGAUCCCUCUGCUGGGGCUUCCAACAUGAGAUGGUCAAUGACCUAUAAGGUGGAAUUUUAUCUAACAGGCUGAUUGGCAUCUGUGACGUGCAAGGGAUGUCUAUGCUGUGCUCUGGGCUUCUAUUGGCACUUCAGGGAUUCCUCUCGAUUCUAUCCCAGAAGGACCUCCGGAUGCCAUUUUUCUCCAGCCCCGAGCUGGCUCAUUAGCUAGAUUUUAUAGGUCUGGGAGAGGGAGACUAACAAGAUGCAAAGGGAGAAAUCACACAGGGCAAGGCCCAGGAAAUCCUGGACUAUGGCACAGCCACACCAGCUGUUUUAAUAAGUUCCUAACUUUUCAUAAAGCACGGGGUUUCAUCAGAAGGCAAGUCAUUAACAAAGCCCCAAGGUUUUGAUUUUCUAGCGCUUGAGGUCAGCUAGUCGGUCUGACAGCUAGUAGAUCUGAUCUGGAUUUCUCUUGCUGCAUUUGAAGCCACCAACAUUCCUGAUGAUGCGGGGCGGGGGGUGGGCACCACUGGGUGAGGUGAGACACCCCUUUCUCAGCCUAGAGGGCUGCACAGCGUUAGUCUCUUGAGGGGAGAGUGCUCUGACCUGAUUUCUUGCUAAUUAAAUAUCUAAUGGGAAGUAUCUGUCUGUUAGAAUCGCUGCCAUCACCUUGGGGACGGGUCUUCUUUGUUUUGUUUUAUUAUUUUUUUUAAUCUGUAACUUGCCUACAAUUUUUAGAGACAAGCCUCACCAGCAGUCUCUCUCUCUCUCUCUCCUUCCCUCUACCUCUGGUGUCUCUCUGUCUCUCUGUCUCUCUGUCUAUCUAUCUAUCUAUCUAUCUAUCUAUCUAUCUAUCUAUCUAUCUAUCUAUCUAUCUAUCUAUCUAUCUAUCUGGAGUGUAGGGUCCGGAGAGCCGAGAAAGAGUUGUGAGUUUGAAUCUCAGAGCCUGACCUUCUUCCCUGAGCUUAUGUUGCACCUCAAGUAGGAUCUAGAAAUGGGUCUGACGGGCUGCAGUCGAGGCUGCUUUCUAUUGCCUGCUUUCCAAGAGCGGGAGGAGGUUAAAAAAAAAAAAGUGUGUGCUUUUUCUCUGCGUUAAUAAAACCCAAAAUGAGUCUUCAUUAAGGGCUCCAUUAGGAAGCCACUGUUAUUCUUGGCACUCAUUAGCGUUGCUGCUCACCACUAAAUUGCCACACUGGCAUUUUCCCAGGGCUUUGCGGAGCCCCCUCCAGAUGCUGGGGGGCAGUGCUUAAGAUAGCUCCUGUGUGCUGCUUCUACGGAACGAAGGAAGUAGUUUCCUAGGCCUUCACCUCACCCAUUCAGCUCGCUCACUCUCCCAUCUCUACGUUCUCACUUGCUCCUGUCGCAGAUGCCAAGGACUCCUUGCUUUGUGCUGUUUAAGGAUCUAGGGGACCCUGCAUGGAAGUUCCUCCUCUUGUCUAUCUCCUCCAUUCCCUGCAACAUGAGCCAUUUGGACCUUUCACAGUGGGACUGAAGAAUAUCUUUCUAAGAAAAUUGUGCUUAUUUUUUCUUGCUGAAUUCAGCUCCUAAGUUAUGCACUUAUUUUGCAUGCGUGUGUGUGUGUGUGUGUGUGUGUGUGUGUGUGUGUGUGAAUGUGAGAGAGAGGAGGGUGGUAUGCAUGCAUGUUUGUGUGUGUUCAUGUGUGUGGGUGCACUUGUUUGGAUGAAUGUGGUGUGUGUGUGCGGGCACAUGCGUGAAUGCAUGGAUAUGUGUGUGUAUGUGUGUGUGUGUGUGUGUGUGUGUGUGUAUGUGUGUGUAUGGUUAAUGUUGGAUGUCGUUCUCAAUUGCUCUUCACCUUGUAUAUCGAGAUGUGGGGACUCUUGCUGAACCUGGAGCCAUUUUUCAGUAUGAGUAGCCAGGCUUGCUCCAGGGAUUCUCUAUCUCUGAGUCUUGUUCAUAGGCAGGCCACCAUGUCUAAUUGGCUUUUUGUGGGCUCUGGGGAUCUGAACUCUGGUCUUUACAUUGCCAUGGCAAACCCUUUACCUGAUGAGUCAUCACUACAUCCCUCCUAAGUUGAUUUGGAUGACUGGAAAGCCUGCUUCCUUCAUUAUCCCCAUGGUGAAGAAAGUCUACCUCCUUCAGGGGUCCCUGUGGCGAGAUGCAAGUCUAUAUGAUGUGCUCCCCUAGGACCAGCUUGUUCCUCAGGGCCACGAUAUCCUUCCUCAUGCAGUCUUCCCUAUCUCAUCAAAUCCCACCUUUCCUUGGCUCUCAAAGGCUCUGUAGCCCCAGAGGAAAACACCCGGCCCAGAGGUGCCGACUUGUGUUCCUAGAUACUUUCAAGACCAAAGCAAGAAGUACAAAAGUCCAAGGCAGCCUGGGCAGCGGAGAGAGGCUCUGUUUCAAACUGAAGAGUCAAGGAGAGCUAGGGGUGUAGCUCAGGGGUAAGGUGCCAACUUAGCAAACAGGAGGUUCUAGGUUCAAUCCUCAGCACUGCAAAAGAAGACAUUAGGACAAAAAUCUGAGAACAAAACCCCUUAACAAACAAACAGCCCUCUGCAUAAGGUCUUAUACCGCAUUCUUAGUCAGAUGGUCAGUUCCCACAGGUAAGAAUUUUGGAUCCUGUGGUUUUACAAAUGGAACAAAUUAUCCACUGAGGAGUAUAGGUCGUUGUCAUGUUAUCAUAGAAAAACCAAAUGUUAGGGUUAAAAACAAAACAAAACAAAACAAAACAAAACAAAACAAUAAACAGUGAGGUUGGGACCACUGGAGAGGGUAGUGAGAGAGCUAAUAGCUGGAUGUGCUAUGUUGAGAGGAAGGGCAGGCGUCUAGAUAAACAACCAAGGCCAUCUCAGAAGGCUCUGGCUUGCUCCCAUACCCUUCCCUAAGGGGCACAUACAGGACACCAUUGCCCUUUUCCUUAGCAAACUUCUCGACAUUGUGGGUAUCUACACCUUUAGACACAUGUUCUUGUAUCUAACACACCCACCUGUAACAGACUGAUUUGUGGGUAAGAAUCUCUUCAAAGAAAACCUUCACUUUAUUUCUGGAAAGGAUCACCCCAGAUUGCACCAAAGGCGGGUAGGGGUGAAACGCGACACUAGAGAGCUCCAGGUCGCAGAGGCAGCCCUUUGCACUUGUGGCCUCACUUAGCCCAGCCCUCUACUCCAGAAAAAUUACUUAGUUUUGAUUUUUCACCCCUGCUAAAAUCAACCUUGGUGGGAGGAGAUGGCUCUCUGGGUAAAGGGUCUUGCUGCCAUCGACAUGAUUCAUGGCAUGUGCCCAUAUGCCCCCUCAAAAUAAGUAUUGUAAUUUAAGAAAUAAAAUAAGCCUUGGUCACUUGCUGGGUCUGCCUGUACUCCCUGUACUCCAGCGGAAAGUCUUCUCCGUGGGGAGUCAAUGACUGAGAUGGUUGCUGUAUUUGCUGUAGUUGUAGGAGGGAUGUGAGGAGAGGCUUGCCCACACCAGUCACAGAGGUGGUAGGAGGCUCAGACAGACUCAACCUCAGUCUCCUGACUUCUAAUAGAGAGCACUUCCCCAAGCCAUCUUGAUCCCCUUGUUCCUUUCAAAUACUGUGUUGCUAACAUCAGAAAGGAUGCUGAGACCCGCAGCUAUUGGUUACCUACAGACGUGACAGGAAGUAAGUAGGUGGGCUUUUCUCACUGGUGGAACCUUCUCAUCUAAUUCCAUUGUAUUCCUUCCCUAUAGUCCAUUGGAAAGCUUGGUACCUGGCCCAGGCGUGUCACAUGACCAAGGCACAUUGGGAACUUCCCUUUGCAAGUCUGUGGCGUGUGUUGAUGUUUUCUGGGUGUGCUGGGUCUUCAGGAAAAUUUCUCAAAGCGUCUGGAUUUUAGCUGGGAGAGAAAGAUGAGGCACAGGAAUAGGAGACUCUCUUUGGAGUAAAAUAGUUCCUUUUGAGCUUGAUGGUGGUGGCAGGAAGAGUUCUAGUUCGAGGCCAACUUGAGCUACAUCAUUACAAUUUGAUAUGAACCUGAGCUAUUUGGGGAGACCUUGUCUCAACCCUGCUCCCCUCCAAAGGACUCUAAAAUAAUUUCUCAGUGAAGUAUGGUAUAGACAGCCUCUGCACUGCUGAUCUCAGCUCCGUGUGGUAUAGACUCAUCCUUUGGGGUUUGAACUCUUGGCAUAGGAAAUGAAGGAAACAAAGCCUGACUGGCAGUUGCCUGGGAAGGGGGCUCCAAGUGCUCAGAGCCAAAGGACUUAACAAUCUUUGCUCAUGUUCUAAGCUGCUUUGGGGCCUAGGGAGUUGUAGUUCCUCUGGGGUAUCUGGGGCAUCGGUGGUCCACGGAUUAACAUCUCCUUGCUAAGGCACUGUAAAGUGUGGCUUUAGGUAGAAGGCAUGAUGAGUGGAAAACUCUCUCUUUUGUUCACUGUGACAAGGAUGGGAGUCUAGCUUUUUGUUGUCUUUAUUGGCAUAAAAACAAACAAACAAAAGACAAACACUAACUCUCUUGCCUUCCUUGGUAUUUUUAUGAGUCCCAGGGAGGGAAGUGGGACAUACUGCUUCUGGCUCUCCUGUCGUUAGAGCUGGUGACGAUAUGGCCGCGUGCUGUCUUUGAUGCACCCUGAUGCUGUCGUUUCCUCUUGGCAGAUCCCAUUUCUCUGGCUGCACUGGACCUGCAUCUUCAGGUUUCACAAAUACUCUGUUUUGGAGGGACAACACAGCAUUCCCUCGCUUGUCUGUUGUUUGAAGCCUCUGGAGGCAGGAAGUGUGUGGUAGGAGGAGGUGGAAGAAACGCUGGAGACAACUUCUCCUUCUCUGCUUUAUAGGGUGGUUGGAAAGUGUCUUGUGAUGUCAUAUGCACGUGGCAAUGGCUCUUGGAGCUGUGUACUCAGUGAGAAUGGUGGGAAAUGGCGUUGCCUCUGAUGUCAUCGACAAUAUCAUCAUUCUUGUUGCCUGGAGAGUGCAGGGUGAGGCUGUGCUGAAAUGAGGCGAUCUAGAGUAAGAGUCUGAUUCAUGACUGGUGCAUAACAGGCUUCUAAAAAUGAGAGCCAGGGCUGGAGAGAAGGCUCACUGGGGUAGAGUGCUUGAUGCAAAACCCUAACAACGCAGUUCUGGAUUCCUGGAGUCCACAUAAGGAGCCAGAUGUGGUGUGAGCAUCUGCAGUCCCAGCACUCCCGUGGGAGGAAAGGGGACAAAACAGGGUAAUAACCCGGAUCGCAAGGGACAGCAGGCCUGGGAGACACACAGCACAGUGACAGACAUGAGAGAAGGCUGCCCUUGAAAACAACAUGGAAGGAGAUAACUGACUGCUGAAAAGUUGUCCUCUGACCUCCACAUGUGAGCUGUGGCAUAUGUGCCUGAACUCAUGAAAGGAGGGAAG
rnacentral:lncRNA from 1 species